rnacentral:rRNA from 1 species
CGCGUAGGCGGUUCGAUAAGUCCCGUGUGAAAUCCCUCGGCUCAACUGAGGAAUGGCACGGGAAACUGACGGGCUUGAGUUCGGGAGAGGGAAGCGGAAUUCCGGGUGUAGCGGUGAAAUGCGUAGAUAUCCGGAGGAACACCGGUGGCGAAGGCGGCUUCCUGGACCGACACUGACGCUGAGGCGCGAAAGCUAGGGGAGCAAACGGGAUUAGAUACCCCGGUAGUCCUAGCUGUAAACGAUGAGUGCUGGGUGUAGGGGGUAUCAACCCCCCCUGUGCCGAAGCUAACGCAUUAAGCACUCCGCCUGGGGAGUACGGUCGCAAGGCUGAA